AUUGAACGCUAGCGGGAUGCCUUACACAUGCAAGUCGAACGGAGUGGCGAACGGGUGAGUAAUGUAUCGGAACGUGCCCAGUAGCGGGGGAUCACUACGCGAAAGCGUAGCUAAUACCGCAUACGAUUUGAGCGGCCGAUAUCGGAUGAGCUAGUUGGUGGGGUAACGGCCCACCAAGGGGAAGAUCAGUAGCUGGUUUGAGAGGACGACCAGCAACAGUGGGACUGGGACACGGCCCGGUCUCCUAUGGGAGGCAGCAGUGGUGAAGUUUGGACAAUGGGGGAAACCGUGAUCCAGCCAUCCCGCGUGUGCGAUGAAGGCCUUCGGGUGUGAAAGCACUUUUGGCAGGAAAGCGGUACCUGCAGAAUAAGCACCGGCUAACUACGUGCCAGCAGCCGCGGUAAUAC
rnacentral:rRNA from 1 species